GGCCUCGUCGUCUAGUGGCUAGGACACGACCCUUUCAAGGUCGCGAUACGGGUUCGACUCCCGUCGAGGCCACCA
rnacentral:tRNA from 2 species